rfam:Dipodomys ordii contig_6536, whole genome shotgun sequence.
CUGUGUCUUGCUUCAACAGUGCUUGGACUGAACAG